rnacentral:rRNA from 1 species
AAUCAACGCUGGCGGCGUGCCUAACACAUGCAAGUCGAACGCGAAAGCCCCGCAAGGGGUAAGUAGAGUGGCAAACGGGUGAGUAACACGUGGGUGACCUGCCUUCGAGUGGGGGAUAACGUCCCGAAAGGGACGCUAAUACCGCAUGACAUCCUGCUUUUGAAAAACCGGAGAUCAAAGCUGGGGAUCGCAAGACCUAGCGCUUGAAGAGGGGCCCGCGCCUGAUUAGCUAGUUGGUGAGGUAACGGCUCACCAAGGCGACGAUCAGUAUCCGGCCUGAGAGGGCGGACGGACACACUGGGACUGAGACACGGCCCAGACUCCUACGGGAGGCAGCAGUGGGGAAUUGUUCGCAAUGGGCGCAAGCCUGACGACGCAACGCCGCGUGGAGGACGAAGAUCUUCGGGUCGUAAACUCCUGUCGAGCGGGACGAACGCUUCGCGGAUGAAUAAUCCGCGGAAUUGACGGUACCGCUAAAGGAAGCCCCGGCUAACUCCGUG